AAACGAACGCUGGCGGCGGGCCUCAUACAUGCAAGUCGAGCGCGAAAGUCCGCAAGGAUGAGUAAAGCGGCGCACGGGUGAGUAACACGUGGAUAAUCUACCCUCUGGAUUGGAAUAACCUGUCGAAAGACGGGCUAAUAGCCAAGUAAGCUCUCGGGAACGUGAUGUUCCUGCGAGGAAAGAUGGCGCAAGCUAUCGCCGAAGGAUGAGUCUGCGUCCCAUUAGCUAGUUGGUGGGGUAAAAGCUUACCAAGGCAAUGAUGGGUACCUGGUCUGAGAGGAUGACCAGGCACACUUGGAACUGAAACACGGUCCAGACUCCUACGGGAGGCAGCAG
rnacentral:rRNA from 1 species